AGAGUUUGAUCAUGGCUCAGGAUGAACGCUGGCGGCGUGCCUAAUACAUGCAAGUCGAACGCUUUGUCUUUAAUUGAUAUGAAGAGCUUGCUCUGAUUUGAUUUUAUCUGACAAAGAGUGGCGAACGGGUGAGUAACACGUGGGUAACCUACCUCUUAGCAGGGGAUAACAUUUGGAAACAAGUGCUAAUACCGUAUAACACUAACAACCGCAUGGUUGUUAGUUGAAAGAUGGUUCUGCUAUCACUAAGAGAUGGACCCGCGGUGCAUUAGCUAGUUGGUAAGGUAAUGGCUUACCAAGGCGAUGAUGCGUAGCCGAGUUGAGAGACUGAUCGGCCACAAUGGGACUGAGACACGGCCCAUACUCCUACGGGAGGCAGCAGUAGGGAAUCUUCCACAAUGGGCGCAAGCCUGAUGGAGCAACGCCGCGUGUGUGAUGAAGGGUUUCGGCUCGUAAAACACUGUUAUAAGAGAAGAACGACAUUGAGAGUAACUGUUCAGUGUGUGACGGUAUCUUAUCAGAAAGGAACGGCUAAAUACGUGCCAGCAGCCGCGGUAAUACGUAUGUUCCAAGCGUUAUCCGGAUUUAUUGGGCGUAAAGCGAGCGCAGACGGUUAUUUAAGUCUGAAGUGAAAGCCCUCAGCUCAACUGAGGAAGGGCUUUGGAAACUGGAUAACUUGAGUGCAGUAGAGGAAAGUGGAACUCCAUGUGUAGCGGUGAAAUGCGUAGAUAUAUGGAAGAACACCGGUGGCGAAAGCGGCUUUCUGGACUGUAACUGACGUUGAGGCUCGAAAGUGUGGGUAGCAAACAGGAUUAGAUACCCUGGUAGUCCACACCGUAAACGAUGAGUGCUAGAUGUUCGAGGGUUUCCGC
rnacentral:rRNA from 1 species